GACGAACGCUGGCGGCGUGCCUAAUACAUGCAAGUCGAGCGGACGAAUCGAAAGCUUGCUUUUGAUUCGUUAGCGGCGGACGGGUGAGUAACACGUGGGCAACCUGCCCUGUAGACGGGGAUAACACCGAGAAAUCGGUGCUAAUACCGGAUAACACGAAAUGUCGCAUGACGUUUCGUUGAAAGACGGCGCAAGCUGUCGCUACAGGAUGGGCCCGCGGCGCAUUAGCUAGUUGGUGAGGUAACGGCUCACCAAGGCGACGAUGCGUAGCCGACCUGAGAGGGUGAUCGGCCACACUGGGACUGCGACACGGCCCAGACUCCUACGGGAGGCAGCAGUAGGGAAUCUUCCGCAAUGGACGAAAGUCUGACGGAGCAACGCCGCGUGAGCGAAGAAGGCCUUCGGGUCGUAAAGCUCUGUUGUUAGGGAAGAACAAGUAACGCAGUAACUGGCGUUACCGUGACGGUACCUAACGAGAAAGCCACGGCUAACUACGUG
rnacentral:rRNA from 1 species